rnacentral:rRNA from 1 species
GACGAACGCUGGCGGCGUGCCUAAUACAUGCAAGUAGAACGCUGAAGGAGGAGCUUGCUUCUCUGGAUGAGUUGCGAACGGGUGAGUAACGCGUAGGUAACCUGCCUGGUAGCGGGGGAUAACUAUUGGAAACGAUAGCUAAUACCGCAUAAGAGUAGAUGUUGCAUGACAUUUGCUUAAAAGGUGCAAUUGCAUCACUACCAGAUGGACCUGCGUUGUAUUAGCUAGUUGGUGAGGUAACGGCUCACCAAGGCGACGAUACAUAGCCGACCUGAGAGGGUGAUCGGCCACACUGGGACUGAGACACGGCCCAGACUCCUACGGGAGGCAGCAGUAGGGAAUCUUCGGCAAUAGACGGAAGUCUGACCGAGCAACGCCGCGUGAGUGAAGAAGGUUUUCGGAUCGUAAAGCUCUGUUGUAAGAGAAGAACGAGUGUGAGAGUGGAAAGUUCACACUGUGACGGUAUCUUACCAGAAAGGGACGGCUAACUACGUG